UGGGGAAUAUUGCACAAUGGGCGAAAGCCUGAUGCAGCAACGCCGCGUGCGGGAGGAAGGCCUUAGGGUUGUAAACCGCUUUCAGCAGGGAAGAAACUGACGGUACCUGCAGAAGAAGGUGCGGCCAACUACGUGCCAGCAGCCGCGGUGACACGUAGGCACCAAGCGUUGUCCGGAUUUAUUGGGCGUAAAGAGCUCGUAGGCGGUUCAGUAAGUCGGGUGUGAAAACUCUGGGCUCAACCCAGAGACGCCACCCGAUACUGCUGUGACUUGAGUACGGUAGGGGAGUGGGGAAUUCCUGGUGUAGCGGUGAAAUGCGCAGAUAUCAGGAGGAACACCAGUGGCGAAGGCGCCACUCUGGGCCGUAACUGACGCUGAGGAGCGAAAGCGUGGGUAGCAAACAGGAUUAGAUACCCUGGUAGUCCACGCCGUAAACGUUGGGCACUAGGUGUGGGUCUCAACCAACGAGAUCCGCGCCGUCGCUAACGCAUUAAGUGCCCCGCCUGGGGAGUACGGUCGCAAGACUAA
rnacentral:rRNA from 1 species